rnacentral:siRNA from 1 species
UCAUAAAUUCAGGAGACACAC